AAGAGCGCCAUUCGUGCUCGUUGAUGGCGAACCAAUCUUCCAUAAACAGCAACAAUGCGACGUCGCCGCCCUCUCCAUCGCCGGGGGGAGAUUCGUUCAUCGGGAGUUUCAUAAGCGUUCUGUCGAAAUCGGAGAUUCGUUACGAGGGCAUUCUUUACUUCCUCAAUACUCAGGACUCCACCUUCGGCCUCAAAGAUGUGAGAUCAUUUGGCACAGAGGGAAGAAGGAAUGAUGGACAAGAAGUUCCACCAAGCGACAAAGUCUUUGAAUACAUUCUGUUUCGUGGGAGUGAUAUUAAAGAUUUAAAAGUAAUAACUAACCCACCAGUUCAAAAGCAGGAGAAACUACAUGAUGAUCCUGCAAUUAUAGAGUCAAACCAUCAUAUUCCGCCAUCCAGUUCAUCCCAUUUGGUCUCAGGAUAUUCGACCGAAUCCAAGUUGUACAGUGAACCAUCUGGAAUUAAUGCGAGAUCCUACUUAAACAUGUUGCCUUCUAAUCCUUCUGGAAGUCAGAUGGGGUGGGAUUCUUCUCAGUGUACUUACAGUGGUUCAUCUUCAUAUGACAUGCCAUUAUCAACACAAGGCCAGGGAUAUUGUGCAGCACCAGGGAGCAUUACUAUUACUCAACAUCUGCCACCAACUCCCAUGAAAUAUCCAAUGCAGAAUCAAGUUCUUACAACCAUGGCAAUGGCAAAUAUAUCAGAUGUUGUUCCUUCUGAGUAUCAACUUGCAACAUCCAGUUCUAGUGGUUUAAAUUCGUCAACCAAUCCUACUUCUGAGCAACUGCCUCCAUCCAUGCCGUUCAUUAAUUCACUUUCUUUUAAGCAGUCCCAGCCCUUAUAUAAUUCCACAUUAAUAAACUCAAGGGGGUUGACCCAACCUUUUCCAUUAGCCUACCAGAAUGCAGGUAGCACUGAAGCUCAAGCUGUUAACAAAGUUAUUCCCGAUCCUGCAUCAUCCCUUCCUGCUCAGUUCUUACCAUAUUCAGCAUCUUCUGUUAUGGGUCAAGUAUCAAACUUCUCUCUUGGAGCUUCAAACUUGUCACAACCCAGAUUAUCUGAAUAUUCUCCGUCAAACAAUUUGUAUUCGGAACAGAAGGAUACAACUGAUAUUAGUUCAAGUUCUCUAAAUUUCUUGUCAUCAGCUGCUGGCCCAGCAGUUCAACCGCCUCUUUUGCCAUUGCCACCAGCUUCGCAAAAGUUGCCAUCCCCACUCCAAUAUACUGAAGAAUUUGAUUUUGAAGCAAUGAAUGAGAAGUUUAAGAAAGAUGAAGUAUGGGGUUAUCUUGGGAAAGCAAACCAAAGAGAGAAUAUGGAUGGGAUGCAAAGUGAAAAUAGUGGCCAAGAGUUUGGGGAUAAUAAAAUUGACUUGAUAUCCAACAGUGAUCCCAAGCCUGCAUACAGCAAGGAUGACUUCUUCGAUACAAUUUCUUGUAAUUCUCGCGGGCGGGGAACUAGGGAUGGGCAGAAUCGAUUAUCCGAGAGAGUUAAAUUAGACUCGGAGACAUUUGGCUAUUUUCAAAGAAGAACUCAGUUUGGUUACCGUGGGCAGAGAGGUGGGCAUGGUCAGCAUCGUGGCCCAUACAAUUGGGGAAGAGGAUAUAAUUAUGGUUAUAGAGGUCAUGGUCGUUACAUGUAAAGAUGACAGAGGACAAUUCAUGAUUCGGAGCAUGAAAGCUGGUGAAACUUGAAAUUGAUCUUCUUUCGGUCCUUCAACAAGUUGAUUCUCAAGACAAGCCGUGAUGGAUAAUGGGAUUAGUUAGCAUGAGACUUUAUUAUAUUUUCUUUGACACCUAUAGCUUAGACACUGGGGGUCAUGAUUUUUUUGCUCUUGAACCUGCCGGCUCUUCAAAUUACUAGUUUCUAACUUUGUUUCGCCUAACAGCUGCUAUACCGGUGCCAAGGGUUGAGCCGAGAGCCAGCAAGGUGAGUAUGGCUGAACCAAUGUAGACUCCAUCUUUAACUAGGUAGCACUCUCCAUCUAACCAUCCUUCUCCAAAGGCUUGACUCUGGUUCAUGCUGCUUGCUGCACUUAAUAAAACCACUGCAACUCCAAAGCCAAUCCUGCAGCAUCAUUCAUUAAAUUUUAUACUUAGUAUUGCUUUAACAAAACUGUCUAGAAGUUAUUAUCUGUUUUCCUAGAUUUUACACCCUAGAACUAUGCCAUACUCAACAGUAGAAUUCAUGCAUAUGAUAUGAUAUUAGUUUCUUGAUUUGAUUAAAUAUUUAGGGGAAACUGGUGAGGGAGGAAGUCUAACCAGGAAAAAACGAGUAAAGUGCGUGUUACUGUAAAAUAGCCCCCCUUUUUUCUUGGACUGAAUUUUCUGUAAAUGAAUAAACUACCGGCGACUUGAUUGAUGCUAAGACAGAUUAAGGCUGCGAUUCCUAGUUCGAAUGACACAGUUCCAGGCAGGUAACACAGCUUUCCAUCGAAUACGAGAUCAUCUUUCUGAAAAAAAGAGGGGGGGAAUCUCAAUGUUACAGGAUAAAAUUGGGAUGUGGUUGGCCACAGUUAGACUACCUUAGUUUUCUUGAGUUCUGCAGCGAGGCAUAAGGCGAAGGAGACGAUGGCGAUGGAGGAGAAGAUAUAUCGAUUUAGUGGUUGCAUAUACAUGGGGGUGUGGAGUUCGUAUAGAGGAGGGGAGGAGGUGGAAGAUGAUGAUAUGGAGAGGUGGCUUGGAGUUUACUCAAAGGGAAGCAGAGUUUGAAAUGUGUUGCUUUCUUUUGUUGGUUGGCUGUGACUGUGUUUUUCUUAAGACGGGAUGUUUCAUAUGUAAAAACAAUUUGUGAUAAGUAGUAAUAGUAACAAUUUUUAUUAA